rnacentral:rRNA from 1 species
GAUGAACGCUGGCGGCGUGCCUAACACAUGCAAGUCGAACGGAGUCCAGCCUUUAAGACCUUCGGGUCAAAGAGGGGAAGACUGAGUGGCGGACGGGUGAGUAACACGUGGGCAACCUGGCUCAUAGAGGGGGAUAACAGAGAGAAAUUUCUGCUAAUACCGCAUAAGCACACACUGCCGCAUGGCAGAGGGUGAAAAGAGAAUCGCUAUGAGAUGGACCCGCGUCUGAUUAGCCAGUUGGCAGGGUAAGAGCCUACCAAAGCGACGAUCAGUAGCCGAUCUGAGAGGAUGAACGGCCACAUUGGGACUGAGACACGGCCCAAACUCCUACGGGAGGCAGCAGUGGGGGAUAUUGCACAAUGGGGGGAACACUGAUGCAGCGACGCCGCGUGAGUGAAGAAGUAUUUCGGUAUGUAAAGCUCUAUCAGCAGGGAAGAUAAUGACAGUACCUGAAUAAGAAGCCCCGGCUAACUACGUG